rnacentral:rRNA from 1 species
AGCGAACGCUGGCGGCAGGCCUAACACAUGCAAGUCGAACGGAUCCUUCGGGAUUAGUGGCGGACGGGUGAGUAACACGUGGGAACGUGCCCUUUGGUUCGGAACAACUCAGGGAAACUUGAGCUAAUACCGGAUGUGCCCUUCGGGGGAAAGAUUUAUCGCCAUUGGAGCGGCCCGCGUCUGAUUAGCUAGUUGGUGAGGUAACGGCCCACCAAGGCGACGAUCAGUAGCUGGUCUGAGAGGAUGAUCAGCCACACUGGGACUGAGACACGGCCCAGACUCCUACGGGGGGCAGCAGUGGGGAAUCUUGCGCAAUGGGCGAAAGCCUGACGCAGCCAUGCCGCGUGAAUGAUGAAGGUCUUAGGAUUGUAAAAUUCCUUCAGCGGGGACGAUAAUGACGGUACCCGCAGAAGAAGCUCCGGCUAACUUCGUG